UGGGGAAUAUUGCACAAUGGGCGCAAGCCUGAUGCAGACAUGCCGCGUGUAUGAAGAAGGCCUUCGGGUUGUAAAGUACUUUCAGCGAGGAGGAAGGCGUUGUGGUUAAUAACCGCAGCGAUUGACGUUACUCGCAGAAGAAGCACCGGCUAACUCCGUGCCAGCAGCCGCGGUAAUACGGAGGGUGCAAGCGUUAAUCGGAAUUACUGGGCGUAAAGCGCACGCAGGCGGUCUGUCAAGUCGGAUGUGAAAUCCCCGGGCUCAACCUGGGAACUGCAUCCGAAACUGGCAGGCUAGAGUCUUGUAGAGGGGGGUAGAAUUCCAGGUGUAGCGGUGAAAUGCGUAGAGAUCUGGAGGAAUACCGGUGGCGAAGGCGGCCCCCUGGACAAAGACUGACGCUCAGGUGCGAAAGCGUGGGGAGCAAACA
rnacentral:rRNA from 1 species